GUCCAGGCACAGUUAUGUGAGUUCUUUGAGACAGAGGGCUGUACAUUGGAUGACGUAUUAUUGACAGUUCACACAGUCCAGAUCUGAGCAUCAUCGUGUCCCCUUUCAAGGUCAAGAAGGAAUGUUAUCUUUUAAGAAGCUGUCUUGCUGAUGCUAGGAGAAUGUUGCUCUUCAUGGUUGAGCAGGUAUUUCUGCUGAUGGGGGAGGUUUGGUCGAUGUACAAUGCAGAUACACAUUUUUCAGCAGAGGGAA